rnacentral:pre_miRNA from 1 species
AGUGGGAUAGCUGGGUCAAAUGGUGGUUCCAUUCCCGGUUUUCUGAGGAAUCUCCAUACUGCCUUCCAUAUUGGUUGUACCAAUUUGCAGUCCCACCAGCAAU